UGGGGAAUUUUGGACAAUGGGCGAAAGCCUGAUCCAGCAAUGCCGCGUGUGUGAAGAAGGCCUUCGGGUUGUAAAGCACUUUUGUCCGGAAAGAAAUCCUUGGCUCUAAUACAGUCGGGGGAUGACGGUACCGGAAGAAUAAGCACCGGCUAACUACGUGCCAGCAGCCGCGGUAAUACGUAGGGUGCAAGCGUUAAUCGGAAUUACUGGGCGUAAAGCGUGCGCAGGCGGUUUGCUAAGACCGAUGUGAAAUCCCCGGGCUCAACCUGGGAACUGCAUUGGUGACUGGCAGGCUAGAGUAUGGCAGAGGGGGGUUAGAAUUCCACGUGUAGCAGUGAAAUGCGUAGAGAUGUGGAGGAAUACCGAUGGCGAAGGCAGCCCCCUGGGCCAAUACUGACGCUCAUGCACGAAAGCGUGGGGGGCAAACAGGAUUAGAUACCCUGGUAGUCCACGCCCUAAACGAUGUCAACUAGUUGUUGGGGAUUCAUUUCCUUAGUAACGUAGCUAACGCGUGAAGUUGACCGCCUGGGGAGUACGGUCGCAAGAUUAAAACUCAAAUGAAUUGACGGGGUCAUAGCUGUUUCCU
rnacentral:rRNA from 1 species